rnacentral:rRNA from 1 species
GACGAACGCUGGCGGCGUGCCUAAUACAUGCAAGUUGAGCGCUGAAGGUUGGUACUUGUACCGACUGGAUGAGCAGCGAACGGGUGAGUAACGCGUGGGGAAUCUGCCUUUGAGCGGGGGACAACAUUUGGAAACGAAUGCUAAUACCGCAUGAAAACUUUAAACACACGUUUUAAGUUUGAAAGAUGCAAUUGCAUCACUCAAAGAUGAUCCCGCGUUGUAUUAGCUAGUUGGUGAGGUAAAGGCUCACCAAGGCGAUGCCACCUAGCCGACCUGAGAGGGUGAUCGGCCACAUGGGGACUGAGACACAGCCCAAACUCCUGCGGGAGGCAGCAGUAGGGAAUCUUCGGCAAUGGACGAAAGUCUGACCGAGCAACGCCGCGUGAGUGAAGAAGGUUUUCGGAUCGUAAAACUCUGUUGGUAGAGAAGAACGUUGGUGAGAGUGGAAAGCUCAUCAAGUGACGGUAACUACCCAGAAGGGACGGCUAACUACGUGCCAGCCGCCGCGGUAA